GGGAACUCAGAAACUCAGCUAACUAGAAAUGGCAGAGUCAAGAUUCAAACUUCCGCUUUUGUGGCUUUUCUCAUCGCUACCUGCUGUAUCAGCCAGGAAUCAUUCCAUGAAAAUUUCCUGGUGAAUGGCCAAGAUGUGUUCCUUCAUAAUUCUCUGAAGAGAUAUGUGUUCAAGCACUUGAGAAAGUACCUCUUAAUCACGUCAGGGUAUUGACAUUGAUUAAAAAAAAUGGAACUUGAACAAAGGUAACAGAUACAGGCAUUUUAGAUGUCAUGUAUUCUUGGUCAAGUAGUAUCCAGUCAGAACACACUAGGUAAGAGGUCAAUUUUCUGUGAAGGAAAAGGAAACUAUGAUGUGCUGGUGGGGAUAACCAGGUAUGGUUAGAGGGUUCUGCAAUGUUCUAGAAUGACUUUGGUGGCACCACCUGUCCCCAUGUCUAUGAAAACAACUUCCCUCUCUAAGAGGAGUUCAUUAUGCCUAAGGUUAGUCAUUGGUUCUCAUUUCAAAAUCUCCUGAGGUGGGCUGCGGCCUCUGAAGCAAAUAUGCUAGAGGAUGGGAGAUUAGAACAUAGUUUAUGUUUCAAUUUUUGAAACUUCACCAUCUUGUUCCCAGUUGGCUUCACACAAACAACUGUUUUACUCAAACAGUCUCCAGUCUUUUACUUUCUGAAAAGGGAAGUUUUUGUUGAUGUUUCAUUUCAUUCUCUUGAAAUCAAUUAGAGAAGAAACAAAACAUGAUUUUCCCUCAAUGAGCCUUUUUCUUUCCCUGUAAGAGCUGAUUCACAUUUCUGCUGUUGCCAUGAUAAUUCCAUAGAACAAGGUAACUCACUUUUCCCAUUUAGUCCUCUCACGUGUACCAUCUUUGGCCAAGUGUCCACUCAGUCAAUUUUCCUCCAAUUAUCUGUUCAUCCAUCCCUUCACUGACUCAUUAAUUCAGUCAGUCAUUGCUUAUCAUUCAACUUUCACUCUAUUUGUAUUUCAUUGAAAUCUUUUAUAAAAACACCCAUAAUUAAAGUGGCCUAUGUUUUUCAUGUGCAUGUAUUUAUUUCUUAUACUAUAAUAAUAAAAAGUAUAUUAUGAAAAAUUUACAAUGUACAAGCUCGUAGAUACCCUGAUGGUGAGAGUAUAAAUUGAUGUACACUCAUAAAAGGCAAUUUGGCAAUGCCUUUCAAAUUUAUAAUACACCUACUUUAUGACCCAGUGAAUCCAUUAGCAGUAACUCAACCUAAAUACAUAUUUACAUGUAUAGGCAAAGACAUGAAUAAAGAUGAAAAUAGAAGUGUCGUUGAGCUACAGGUAACUUAAAACUUUACCAAUAGCAGUCUGAUAAAAAUAGCUUCCUAUGUUCUUUCAAGACUAUUUUUAAGCUCAAGUAUUUCCCUAGUCUUUUUCCUUCAAUAUUAAUUCUGUGUAUUUAUUGAAAUUGACAACAGAUGACUUCUAUUUGUUAAUCAACUCUGCCCUUCCUCUUCUGGUCUAUUCUCCGCCCUCCCCACACACACCUAUGUUUAAUUCUAGUAGUUUUACAUGGAUUUUUUUUUAAAAAAAAAUCAUAUUUUAUUUAUUUAUUAUUAAUUUUAGUUAUACAUGAAAAGUAGAGUAUAUUUUGACAAAUUUAUACAAUCAUGGAGUAUAUCUUAUUCUAAUUAAGAUCCCAGUCUUGUGGUUGUAUGUGAUGUGGAGAUUGAAUGUGGUGUAUUCAUAUAUGUACAUAGGAAAGUUAGGUCAGAUUUAUUCCACUUUCUUUCCUAUUCCUGCCCCUCUUCCCUUCAUUCCCCUUUGUCUAAUUCAUUGAAUUUCUAUUCUUCCCCUCCCCUUGUUAUGUGUUAGAAGCUACAACAUAUCAGAUAGAAGCUUCAACAUUUGGCUUUUGGGAUUGGCUUAUUUCACUUAAUAUAAUAGCCUCAGAUACACCCAUUUACUGGCAAAAGCUAUUCUUAACACAAAUUCAUAUGUUCAUUUAAUAUAUAUAGUAUUGAGCACAUACUAUGUGGCAGAAAAUGUUCGAAGUGUUUCCAGAGAAAAAUAUCUUCCCUCAUAGAGCUACAUUACAGAGAGGGAAAUAAAAUAUCCAUACUAAACAUAAUAAAAAAGGAAAUUAUAUAGGACAGCAGACAGAAAGUUAUUUGGAAAAAAAAUGAACUAGACAAAGAUAUUUGGAACACUGGGAAUUGUUAACAUAGAUUUAAUUGAGAAGGCAACAUUUGGACACAGAUUUAAAGGAGAAGAGAGAGUUAUGAAAGGUCAGUGGAGCUGGAUUGAAGAAUGAGGAAAGAGUAAGAGGAGAAAAAGUUAGAAAAAUCACAAAAACUAGAUUAUAUGGAGCCUUAAGGAACAUUCCAAAGAGGUUGGUUCCUACCUGAGGUGGGGAACCUUUGGUGAUUCUGAGAAGAAGAAUGAUAGAAUCUGAUUUAUGUGUUCAAGGGGGGCUGUGUUGAGAAGAGUUGGUAGGAGAAAAUACAGUUAGGAGUCAGACGCUAUUAUUUAGGUCAACGAUGGUGGCUUGAAUGAGUGUCAUAGUGAACAUGGUUAUGACAAGUAGAUAAGGUUGAGAGUAGAGCUGACCAAAGUUUUUAAACAGGUUAGAUGUGGGACUCAGAAGAGUGGAUUCAAAGAUUAUUUUCCAUCAAUACAAAUGAGGGAAAUGAGAUGGACAAGAUUGGAAGGAAGAUUCGGUGUUAAGUUUUAGAUAUAUUAAAUUUAAGAUGUGUGGUAGAUAUAUGAAGGUAUUUGCCAACAAGGUAGAUGUAUAAAUCUGGAAUUCUGAAGAGAGGUCUGGUCUGCAUAUUUAGACUGGGAAGUCACUGGCAUUUAGUGGGUAUUUGAAGCUACGAGGAUAGAUGAGAUCAUGUAAGGAGUGCAUGUAGGUUUCCCAAAAUUGAAAGGUUGGGGAGGAGACUUGAAGUUAGAAAGGAACAUGAGAAACAAUUUGUGAAGUAGAAAGAAAAGAAAGGGAGUGGAAAACUAUUGAAGAAAGUGUGUCAAGGAGGAGAAGAGAUCAACUGUGUCCAAUGCUGUUGAUAGGUCCAGCAAGCUAAGGACUAAGAAGUAGAUCCUAUGGGUCAUUAAUACCCCUUAAAAAAGUAAAAUGCUAUAUUCUUAAGUAUUAUGAAGGAAUUUUCAUUUUAAAGAAGAAUUUGAAAAAAAUAUGCUUUAAAUGUUAAAGAGAACACAUUAGCAGUGUAACUUCAGAAAAAAAUGUACCUAUUUGGAACCAAUAUAUAUUUAGACAUUUUAAAUAACAAUGCGAAGCACAAUAAUAUAGGUUACUUUACACAAUGAUUCUUUUUUAUUAUCUCAAAUUCUUUUUUUAAUAUUUUUUAGUUGUUGAUGGACUUUUAUUUUAUUUAUUUGUAUGUGGUGCUGAGAAUUGAACCCAGUGCCUCAUGCAUGCUAGGCAAGCACACUGUCACUGAGCCACAAUGCCAGCCUCUAUUGUCUCCAAUUCUUAAUAUGAAAAGAAGACUUCAGUAAAUUGACAACCUACACUUAGACGUAUACUUUAAGUCACUCUACCUCUGUCUCUAUUUAGCCCAUUAACUUACCCCUCUAUUUUUGCAUAUACUUUCAGUAUUUGUUAUCACAUAUAUCAGCAAAUAAACAUUCUGAUUUCUAAUUUCUUAUUGAAUGGAUAGAGUACUACAAACAUAUAAGUAUUCAUAUUUUGUUCCUUUAUUAAAUGAUAUAAUCUAAAGCUUUCCACAUAGGAAUAAAAAGACUGUCUUCUUUCUUUAUGGCUAAUGUUUCAUUGAAUAGAUGACAUUAUAGUAUAUUUAAACAGUUGUAUUUUGAUGACCAUUUGGAUAUUUUUUUGAACUUCAACAUCAGAUGAUUGUAUAACUGUACAUAUUUCACACGUUCAGCAUAUGUAUAGGACAAAUUCUCUGAUUGCCUACUUGGAAUUCUUUUAAUUUUAGAUGCGUUGUCAAAUUAACCUGUAGGGGUUGUACUAGUUUGUAAUAUCAGCAAAAUAUACAAAUACCUAUUACCUUAAGCCUUAAUGUAUCAUCAAACUUUUGGACUGUUGCCAUUAUGAUAGAUGAAAAAUGAUAUCUGUGAUGGUUGAGAUUGAGUGCUUUUGUAUUAUAUUUAAGGGUAAUUU
rnacentral:lncRNA from 1 species